rnacentral:rRNA from 1 species
GAUGAACGCUGGCGGCGUGCCUAAUACAUGCAAGUCGAGCGAACGGACGAGAAGCUUGCUUCUCUGAUGUUAGCGGCGGACGGGUGAGUAACACGUGGAUAACCUACCUAUAAGACUGGGAUAACUUCGGGAAACCGUAGCUAAUACCGGAUAAUAUUUUGAACCGCAUGGUUCAAAAGUGAAAGACGGUCUUGCUGUCACUUAUAGAUGGAUCCGCGCUGCAUUAGCUAGUUGGUAAGGUAACGGCUUACCAAGGCAACGAUGCAUAGCCGACCUGAGAGGGUGAUCGGCCACACUGGAACUGAGACACGGUCAAGACUCCUACGGGAGGCAGCAGUAGGGAAUCCUCCGCAAUGGGCGAAAGCCUGACGGAGCAACGCCGCGUGAGUGAUGAAGGUCUUCGGAUCGUAAAACUCUGUUAUUAGGGAAGAACAUAUGUGUAAGUAACUGUGCACAUCUUGACGGUACCUAAUCAGAAAGCCACGGCUAACUACGUG